rnacentral:rRNA from 1 species
AUAGCGCGGUGGUCCCACCUGACCCCAUGCCGAACUCAGCAGUGAAACGCCGUAGCGCCGAUGGUAGUGUGGGGUCUCCCCAUGUGAGAGUAGGGA